CAGGACUCCAAUCCCUUUGCUUCCCUUGUCUUCUACUGGGAGCCUCUAAACCGGCAGGUGCGUGUGGAGGGCUCCGUGAAGAAGCUUCCUGAGGAGGAAGCCAGGGGCUACUUCCACUCCCGCCCCAAGAGCAGCCAGAUUGGGGCUGUGGUCAGUCAGCAGAGUUCUGUGAUCCCAGACCGGGAGUACCUGAGGAAGAAAAAUGAGGAACUGGAGCAGCUCUACCAGGAACAAGAAGUGCCAAAGCCGAGUUACUGG